GAUGAACGCUAGCGAUAGGCUUAACACAUGCAAGUCGAGGGGCAGCGAGGGUAGCAAUACCUGUCGGCGACCGGCGCACGGGUGAGUAACGCGUAUGUAACCUGCCCGCAACAGGGGGAUAACCCGGCGAAAGUCGGACUAAUACCGCAUAAAACAGGGGUCCCGCAUGGGAAUAUUUGUUACAGAAUUAUCGGUUGCGGAUGGGCAUGCGUACCAUUAGGUAGUUGGUGAGGUAACGGCUCGCCAAGCCUUCGAUGGAUAGGGGUUCUGAGAGGAAGGUCCCCCACACUGGUACGGGGACACGGACCAGACUCCUACGGGAGGCAGCAGUGAGGAAUAUGGGUCAAUGGUCGAGAGCCUUAACCAGCCAAGUCGCGUGAAGGAUGACUGCCCUAUGGGUUGUAAACUUCUUUUACAAGGGAAUAAAAUGAGAUACGUGUAUUUUAUUGCCUGUACCUUGGGAAUAAGCAUCGGCUAACUCCGUG
rnacentral:rRNA from 1 species